rnacentral:pre_miRNA from 1 species
AGGAGGAACAAUCAAAGUGUCGGCGGCCAGCUCUGGAGCCCUGGAUUCAGCUCCCGCAGUAACUAUGGAGCUCUCCAUCUGCUGGGGCCUGGAAGCUCCGGGGGUGG